GGGGGAAUUUUGGACAAUGGGCGAAAGCCUGAUCCAGCAAUGCCGCGWGCAGGAUGAAGGCCUUCGGGUUGUAAACUGCUUUUGUACGGAACGAAAAAGCUUCUCCUAAUACGAGAGGCCCAUGACGGUACCGUWAGAAUAAGCACCGGCUAACUACGUGMCAGCAGCCGCGGUAAUACGUAGGGUGCGAGCGUUAAUCGGAAUUACUGGGCGUAAAGCGUGCGCAGGCGGUUAUGUAAGACAGAUGUGAAAUCCCCGGGCUCAACCUGGGAACUGCAUUUGUGACUGCAUGGCUAGAGUACGGUAGAGGGGGAUGGAAUUCCGCGUGUAGCAGUGAAAUGCGUAGAUAUGCGGAGGAACACCGAUGGCGAAGGCAAUCCCCUGGACCUGUACUGACGCUCAUGCASGAAMGCGWGGGGAGCAAMCAGGAUUAGAUACCCUGGUAGUCCACGCCCUAAACGAUGUCAACUGSUUGUUGGGAAYUAGUUUUMUCAGUAWCGAAGSUAACGCGUGAAGUUGWCCGCCUGGGGAGURCGGCCGCARGKWKG
rnacentral:rRNA from 1 species